UACAGAGGUCUCAAGCGUUGUUCGGAUUCAUUGGGCGUAAAGGGUGCGUAGGUGGCAUGGUAAGUCGGAUGUGAAAUCCCGGGCUCAACCCCGGAACUGCAUUCGAUACUGCUGCGCUAGAGUACUGGAGAGGAGAUUGGAAUUUACGGUGUAGCAGAUGAAAUGCGUAGAUAUCGUAAGGAAGACCAGUGGCGAAGGCGGAUCUCUG
rnacentral:rRNA from 1 species